CCUACGGGGGGCUGCAGUGGGGAAUAUUGGACAAUGGGGGCAACCCUGAUCCAGCCAUGCCGCGUGUGUGAAGAAGGCCCUCGGGUUGUAAAGCACUUUCAGUGAGGAAGAACGCCUGGUGGUUAAUACCCAUCAGGAAAGACAUCACUCACAGAAGAAGCACCGGCUAACUCCGUGCCAGCAGCCGCGGUAAUACGGCGGGUGCGAGCGUUAAUCGGAAUUACUGGGCGUAAAGCGCGCGUAGGUGGCUUGAUAAGCCGGUUGUGAAAGCCCCGGGCUCAACCUGGGAACGGCAUCCGGAACUGUCAAGCUAGAGUGCAGGAGAGGAAGGUAGAAUUCCCGGUGUAGCGGUGAAAUGCGUAGAGAUCGGGAGGAAUACCAGUGGCGAAGGCGGCCUUCUGGACUGACACUGACACUGAGGUGCGAAAGCGUGGGUAGCAAACAGGAUUAGAUACCCUUGUAGUC
rnacentral:rRNA from 1 species